rnacentral:piRNA from 2 species
UCCUAUGAAACGUGGAGCAUCCAGA